AGCAGUGGGGAAUUUUCCGCAAUGGGCGAAAGCCUGACGGAGCAAUACCGCGUGAGGGAGGAAGGCUCUUGGGUUGUAAACCUCUUUUCUCAAGGAAGAACACAAUGACGGUACUUGAGGAAUCAGCAUCGGCUAACUCCGUGCCAGCAGCCGCGGUAAUACGGAGGAUGCAAGCGUUAUCCGGAAUGAUUGGGCGUAAAGCGUCCGCAGGUGGCUGUGUAAGUCUGCUGUUAAAGAGUGAGGCUCAACCUCAUAAGAGCAGUGGAAACUACACGGCUAGAGUGCGUUCGGGGCAGAGGGAAUUCCUGGUGUAGCGGUGAAAUGCGUAGAUAUCAGGAAGAACACCGGUGGCGAAAGCGCUCUGCUAGGCCGCAACUGACACUGAGGGACGAAAGCUAGGGGAGCG
rnacentral:rRNA from 1 species